rnacentral:lncRNA from 1 species
UUAGUCAGUAGAUGUAUGGCCUAAGGUUAUUGGGAAGAGUAGAAAAAGGGAAUGGUCUCUUAAGAUGAAAUUUUCUGGUCCAUUUCCUAGACGGUGUAUGGAUUUUGUUAGUGCUAACUGCCCCUCAUUCCAGGAAAUCAUUUCUUCCUUACCUCUAUCUCUUGGAACUCCCACUUUCCUUCAAAAUUUAGGUCAUCCUUCUUCUUGAAGCCUUUUCUGGUCCUCCAACCUUCAACUUUCCUGGUACACCUUCCCAAAAUUUCCUUUUAUUCAUUUUGUAUAUAUUCUUGAUAUACUUAUAUGUUUAUGUAUUGGUUUCCCAUUAGAAUGCAAGACAGGGACUGGUUCAACUUUGUCCUUGUGUCUCUAGUACUUAAUGUAUUAGAGAGGGAAAUUAGUGAGAGAUAAUAAGGGAAAUCAAAAGAUGUUACACCAGGAAGCAGUUUGAAGGAAGGAAGCUGAUUUCAGAGCACCUCCUUCACUUCCUGUUCUCCUCACUAAGCAACUUAAUGAAGUUUGCCUCACAGAGGGAUCCCUGCUUUUGUGCAGCCACAACUACUAGAGCUCCUCUUGGCCCUGAAACUGUGACCAGGCCCCCUGAACCCUUAUAUCCAAUCACAAAUGCUAUUCUCUACCCUGGAACUGCAUCCCAAAGCAGCUUAUGGACAACAGAGUGGUCAAUCAAAGCCAGGAGCAUUCAAAGCCAACAAAGAGUCCUCUGUAAUCUCUGACCAGCUGUCCAACCCACUGCUGUCUCUGGCCUGAGAACAUCUGAAGCUUCUUCUGCUGCUUCUGUUAAUGCUGCCUCCAAGCCCAUAAUGGAGUUCCUGUACCUACCUAGGGGUUGCAAAUUUCUCCUGCCUCACCCCUAAUUACACUUGGCUAGAUAAAUAUCUCCCUCUGAAUUUUGUUAGGUCUGCUGUUACAAAGUGUGAUUUGUUAUUUUAAGAUUUUUAAAGGAGAACCUUGGAAGAGUUCAUCUGAGUCUCCACCUACAUCCAACCAUCUUUGCUCCAUCCUAGUGUUAACUAAUUCUUAGUACCCAAUGACAAAAUAACUGUUGCAAUACAGGCUUUAUGUACAAGUCUGAGCUCACAAUAUUAUUAAGUUUAAUAAAAUUAUCCCUAGUGAGGCA